AAAAGAAUCAGUCAGGGCUUGUUAUCCUGUGGAUAUGGAUCUGCAUUUUUGUUUUCCUCCUGCAAGAUUUCUGAUUUAUUUUUAUCAAAGAAAUUGCAAGUCCUGAGGAAAGUAUGGAGAAGAUGCCUCUUUCGUGUGAGGGGCUCUGCAAGCUGAUUCAUUUCUAAAAGCAAUCGUGUGCUGUCAAGCAAUGCUGUGAAGCGUCAGAGGGAAUUCCGUUGGUUACUUUCCCAUACGGUCUUGUUCAGCUGCUUGUUCUCAGAAAAGUGUGUUUGUUGGUGGAGGAGAAUGCGACCAAGGAGACCAUCCUUUUCAUGAAGGCACAAACGUGAAUACAUAUGUGACUUUUAAGCCUUUAAAUAAAAACCCAA
rnacentral:lncRNA from 1 species